rnacentral:rRNA from 1 species
UACGGAGGGAGCAAGCGUUACUCGGAAUUAUUGGGCGUAAAGAGCUCGUAGGCGGUCUGUCGCGUCUGCUGUGAAAACUCAGGGCUUAACCCUGAGCUUGCAGUGGGUACGGGCAGACUAGAGUGCGGUAGGGGAGACUGGAAUUCCUGGUGUAGCGGUGAAAUGCGCAGAUAUCAGGAGGAACACCGGUGGCGAAGGCGGGUCUCUGGGCCGUAACUGACGCUGAGGAGCGAAAGCGUGGGGAGCGAACAGG